GUAGGGGGCAAGCGUUGUCCGGAUUUAUUGGGCGUAAAGAGCGUGUAGGCGGCUAGGUAGGUCCGUUGUGAAAACUCGAGGCUCAACCUCGAGACGCCGAUGGAAACCAUCUGGCUAGAGUCCGGAAGAGGAGAGUGGAAUUCCUGGUGUAGCGGUGAAAUGCGCAGAUAUCAGGAAGAACACCCGUGGCUAAGGCGGCUCUCUAGUACGGUACUGACGCUGAGACGCGAAAGCGUGGGGAGCGAACAGGAUUAGAUACCCUGGUAGUCCACGCCGUAAACGAUGGGUGCUAGGUGUGGGAGGUGUCGACUCCUCCCGUGCCGAAGCUAACGCAUUAAGCACCCCGCCUGGGGAGUACGGCCGCAAGGCUA
rnacentral:rRNA from 1 species